AAUAGUGAACCACAGAGGAUGAUAGACGGCAGAGGGGUUUUGUACUACUUUAAAGUUCUAUUUCUUGUGGAUGCUUCUCAACAGGUAAGGACGGUAAGGAAUUAAAGCAGCAGAGAGACAUUAUGGUGGUGUGGGUAGCAUACCCGUCUGUGCAUAUUUGCAGCUACACCCUCACAGGGGAAGCAGAUAAAGGAAAGGACCACAAACAGGCCUCGUGACAGCAUGUGUUGUAGAAGGAAAGAGUCCAGGAAGAUACUUGUCAGACAUGAAAUAAAAGCCAUCAGAAGAAACCUGAUAUGGUAAGG
rnacentral:lncRNA from 1 species